rnacentral:rRNA from 1 species
AUACGGAGGGUCCGAGCGUUAUCCGGAUUUAUUGGGUUUAAAGGGUGCGUAGGCGGUUUUAUAAGUCAGCGGUGAAAUUUUCCGGCUCAACCGGGAUACUGCCGUUGAUACUGUAAGGCUAGGAUAUGGUUGCUGUGGGUGGAAUGUGUGGUGUAGCGGUGAAAUGCUUAGAGAUCAUACAGAACACCGAUUGCGAAGGCAGCUUACCAAACUAUAUCUGACGUUGAGGCACGAAAGCGUGGGUAGC